rnacentral:rRNA from 1 species
CUGUAGCAAGGUUAACCGCAUAGGGGAGCCGAAGGGAAACCGAGUCUUAACCGGGCGUUAAGUUGCAGGGUAUAGACCCGAAACCCGGUGAUCUAGCCAUGGGCAGGUUGAAGGUUGGGUAACACUAACUGGAGGACCGAACCGACUAAUGUUGAAAAAUUAGCGGAUGACCUGUGGCUGGGGGUGAAAGGCCAAUCAAACCGGGAGAUAGCUGGUUCUCCCCGAAAGCUAUUUAGGUAGCGCCUCGUGAACUCAUCUCCGGGGGUAGAGCACUGUUUCGGCUAGGGGGCCAUCCCGGCUUACCAACCCGAUGCAAACUGCGAAUACCGGAGAAUGUUAUCACGGGAGACACACGGCGGGUGCUAACGUCCGUCGUGAAGAGGGAAACAACCCAGACCGCCAGCUAAGGUCCCAAAGUCAUGGUUAAGUGGGAAACGAUGUGGGAAGGCCCAGACAGCCAGGAUGUUGGCUUAGAAGCAGCCAUCAUUUAAAGAAAGCGUAAUAGCUCACUGGUCGAGUCGGCCUGCGCGGAAGAUGUAACGGGGCUAAACCAUGCACCGAAGCUGCGGCAGCGACACUUUAGUGUUGUUGGGUAGGGGAGCGUUCUGUAAGCCGUUGAAGGUGUCCUGUGAGGGGUGCUGGAGGUAUCAGAAGUGCGAAUGCUGACAUAAGUAACGAUAAAGCGGGUGAAAAGCCCGCUCGCCGGAAGACCAAGGGUUCCUGUCCAACGUUAAUCGGGGCAGGGUGAGUCGACCCCUAAGGCGAGGCCGAAAGGCGUAGUCGAUGGGAAACGGGUUAAUAUUCCCGUACUUGGUGUUACUGCGAAGGGGGGACGGAGAAGGCUAUGUUGGCCGGGCGACGGUAGUCCCGGUUUAAGCGUGUAGGCUGGUUUUCCAGGCAAAUCCGGAAAAUCAAGGCUGAGGCGUGAUGACGAGGCACCACGGUGCUGAAGCAACAAAUGCCCUGCUUCCAGGAAAAGCCUCUAAGCAUCAGGUAACAUCAAAUCGUACCCCAAACCGACACAGGUGGUCAGGUAGAGAAUACCAAGGCGCUUGAGAGAACUCGGGUGAAGGAACUAGGCAAAAUGGUGCCGUAACUUCGGGAGAAGGCACGCUGACACGUAGGUGAAGUGAUUUACUCAUGGAGCUGAAGUCAGUCGAAGAUACCAGCUGGCUGCAACUGUUUAUUAAAAACACAGCACUGUGCAAACACGAAAGUGGACGUAUACGGUGUGACGCCUGCCCGGUGCCGGAAGGUUAAUUGAUGGGGUCAGCGCAAGCGAAGCUCCUGAUCGAAGCCCCGGUAAACGGCGGCCGUAACUAUAACGGUCCUAAGGUAGCGAAAUUCCUUGUCGGGUAAGUUCCGACCUGCACGAAUGGCGUAAUGAUGGCCAGGCUGUCUCCACCCGAGACUCAGUGAAAUUGAACUCGCUGUGAAGAUGCAGUGUACCCGCGGCAAGACGGAAAGACCCCGUGAACCUUUACUAUAGCUUGACACUGAACAUUGAGCCUUGAUGUGUAGGAUAGGUGGGAGGCUUUGAAGCGUGGACGCCAGUCUGCGUGGAGCCGACCUUGAAAUACCACCCUUUAAUGUUUGAUGUUCUAACGUGGACCCGUAAUCCGGGUUGCGGACAGUGUCUGGUGGGUAGUUUGACUGGGGCGGUCUCCUCCUAAAGAGUAACGGAGGAGCACGAAGGUUGGCUAAUCCUGGUCGGACAUCAGGAGGUUAGUGCAAUGGCAUAAGCCAGCUUGACUGCGAGCGUGACGGCGCGAGCAGGUGCGAAAGCAGGUCAUAGUGAUCCGGUGGUUCUGAAUGGAAGGGCCAUCGCUCAACGGAUAAAAGGUACUCCGGGGAUAACAGGCUGAUACCGCCCAAGAGUUCAUAUCGACGGCGGUGUUUGGCACCUCGAUGUCGGCUCAUCACAUCCUGGGGCUGAAGUAGGUCCCAAGGGUAUGGCUGUUCGCCAUUUAAAGUGGUACGCGAGCUGGGUUUAGAACGUCGUGAGACAGUUCGGUCCCUAUCUGCCGUGGGCGCUGGAAGACUGAGGGGGGCUGCUCCUAGUACGAGAGGACCGGAGUGGACGCAUCACUGGUGUUCGGGUUGUCAUGCCAAUGGCACUGCCCGGUAGCUAAAUGCGGAAAAGAUAAGUGCUGAAAGCAUCUAAGCACGAAACUUGCCCCGAGAUGAGUCUUCCCUGAGACCUUGAGUCUCCUGAAGGAACGUUAAAGACGAUGACGUUGAUAGGCCGGGUGUGUAAGCGCAGCGAUGCGUUGAGCUAACCGGUACUAAUGAACCGUGAGGCUUAACCUUACAACGCC